rnacentral:rRNA from 1 species
AUUGAACGCUGGCGGCAGGCCUAACACAUGCAAGUCGAGCGAGCGGCGGACGGGUGAGUAAUGUAUGGGAAUCUGCCCGAUAGAGGGGGAUAACUACUGGAAACGUUAGCUAAUACCGCAUACCAUCAGAUGAACCCAUAUGGGAGUAGCUGGUUGGUGGGGUAACGGCUCACCUAGGCGACGAUCCCUAGCUGGUCUGAGAGGAUGAUCAUCCACACUGGAACUGAGAAAAGGUCCAGAUGCCGACGGGAGGCAGCAGUGGGGAAUAUUGCACAAUGGGCGCAAGCCUGAUGCAGCCAUGCCGCGUGUAUGAAGACGUCCUUAGGGUUGUAAAGUACUUUCAGCGGGGAGGCGUUACCCGCAGAAGAAGCACCGGCUAACUCCGUGCCAGCAGCCGCGGUAAUUC